UCGUUUAACAAGUGUCCUAAAUAGAGAAGUGAAUAUGAUGGAAAUAUAGGCUCAUUUAACAAGUGUCGUUAGGGGUCAUGUGCACAAAUUACGAUGCCGUUCCCCUUCAGGAAUGUAGGCAGUGGACCACGAGGGGAUUAAGACGGACGGUCCUUACGGUGGGAAAGCAAACGAUUUGUGACCGAUUGUAAUAAAGGAAACUAUAAGACAGUCGCGUAUCACUCAAACCCACGUUGGGCCGCCCACAGUCACAAAUCGGCUACCACCCCUCUGGCGAAGCUGUGCGGAGAAGACGAGGAAAUGAGGCUGGUUUCAAAGGACGUCCGCUACCACGCUGCGCCCAAAGAAGACCAGGAGUUGACCGAUUGUAAUAAAGGAAACUAUAAGACAGUCGCGUAUCACUCAAACCCACGUUGGGCCGCCCACAGUUACUGAU